rnacentral:rRNA from 1 species
UACGGGGGGGGCAAGCGUUGUUCGGAAUUACUGGGCGUAAAGGGCGCGUAGGCGGCCUGCUAAGUCGCACGUGAAAUCCCUGGGCUCAACCCAGGAACUGCGUCCGAUACUGGUUGGCUUGAAUCCGGGAGAGGGAUGUGGAAUUCCAGGUGUAGCGGUGAAAUGCGUAGAUAUCUGGAGGAACACCGGUGGCGAAGGCGACAUCCUGGACCGGCAUUGACGCUGAGGCGCGAAAGCCAGGGGAGCAAACGGG